rnacentral:rRNA from 1 species
UAGGGAGUCUUCCACAAUGGGCGAAAGCCUGAUGGAGCAACGCCGCGUGUGUGAUGAAGGGUUUCGGCUCGUAAAACACUGUUGUAAGAGAAGAAUGACAUUGAGAGUAACUGUUCAAUGUGUGACGGUAUCUUACCAGAAAGGAACGGCUAAAUACGUGCCAG